UGUAACCACAUCCACCCAGGUUAAGGUGAA
rnacentral:piRNA from 1 species